CAAAGAACAGAACGUGCCCGUGCCCAAGGAGCCCAUCAUCUUCAGCAAGUUUGCCAGCUCCAUCGUGGGGCCCUAUGAUGAGGUGGUCCUCCCACCACAGAGCCAGAUCCACACAACUUAAAGAUCUGCUGUCGAGUGAAUGGGGAAGUGGUCCAGAGCAGCAACACCAACCAGAUGGUAUUCAAGACAGAGGACCUGAUAGCCUGGGUGUCCCAGUUUGUUACCUUUUACCCAGGGGAUGUCAUCCUGACUGGGACCCCCCCACCUCCACCCAGGUGUCGGUGUAUUCAGGAAACCUCCUGUCUUUCUCAAGGUCUCUGAAGGUCCAGACAGCACUGAUGGCGAGCUUUGGGUCCGCACACUCUGGAAAGAAGAGAGAAGUGAAGGCUCUAGGGGGCAGCAGCCACCAGCAAACACCACUGCCUGCAGGAGCCUGGGCUGACUGGUUGGGACUCACCGAAGAUCCCUUCUUCCUGGGCGGUGGCCUGCAGGAACUGGAACAGCUGCUCUGUGUAGCCCAACUCUGCAGAAGAGAGAAGACCUAGACCUGGCACCCAGCACAGACACAGCCUGCCUCGAGGACUGCAAGGGAACAAGGGCCUCACCAGUAUCGGGCAGCUGGCCCUGGCGGAGGAAGGCGGCAGCCUGUGCAAAGGCCUUGAGCAGCGGGCUGAGCAGGCGGCAGAGGAAAAGAAAGAAAUCUGGGCAGUGUGACUGCUGGCUGAGCUGGAGGGGACAGGCCGGGGUGAGUGCAGCUCCCCACCGCCUCCCUACCACCUCCCUCCAGGGGCAGCUUUUUGAAACACACCCUGAAGUACCGGCCGUCAGCCUCUCCGAAGUCAUCACUGUCACUAUCAGUAAAGUCCCCACUCGGUUUCCAC
rnacentral:lncRNA from 1 species